rnacentral:lncRNA from 1 species
ACAAGACAUAACCGUUCUCUUUAAAUCCCUAACUUUUUCCUGGAUCGCCCUUUCAGGUUUUCAAUCCACCGAGAUACCCUUUUUUGCCUAAGCCGCCCUUUCGGGUUUUCAACUUAGCGGGUGUACUUAAUAUUUUUUAUUUUUUUUAUUUUUUUAUUUUUUUAUCCUUAAUUUUUUUCCCGAACCUUUUAUUCAUUUUUUAGUGGUUCGUCGGGAUGUCCAUUUUUUCCUAAGC